UACCUGUUUGGAUGAAGUAAUGGCUAUGGGGAACACCUCCAUCUAGGAUAAGUAGAGACGACAGCUGCUUCUCAUGAGCUCAAAGGAGGGUUUCCUCAAAGCUGAGGACUAAACUGUGAUCCAGGGUGAGGGGUUGUUAUACAGGAGGAAAAAGAUUUGUCAGACCCGUUAAGAAUAUUAUCGUAGUAGGGUGGGCAAAAAACAAGAUUUCCUAGGUUGUUUGGUGAAGACAGGGAAAGCAGCAAGCUGGUCCCCGAAUUAUGAAUGCAUCGACUUAUGACCGUUCGUAUUGACGACCAUCCUUCUAUACAGCCAGAACCCGAGUUACAAACAAAAUCCGCACUUAUGAACAGCACGGCCGCACCCUCUGCAAAAGUCUUUGCAAGGCGAGCACUCCUUCUCCAGCGGAGCCCGGGAACUAAAGCUUGCAGCUGAGAGAGUGAAUCUUAGUAGCUCCUGAAAGAAAUGGCCCCCUACUAAGGCUGCAAGCUCUGCGUUGAUUUCAACCAAGAUGCAACGUGCCUCCGCUCCCACCAAGCGCCAAGGUCAUGGGGGCACCCUACACCACACCAGGUCCUCCAGCUGGUACGGCGUGUGCUCCACACUCACUGUUCUUUUGGCCCGCCCGGAGCUCGCAUCCUCUGCAUCUUCAAAUUGCGAUGUAAAUGUCAGCUGAUUUGUUGUGAUAUUGACACCCCAGUCACAUUGUAAGGCUCGGCGGUAACAUCUCUGAUUGUUUUUUCUUGCACAUCAGUAUUUCUGCUUCAGCUGGUUUGGGUCAAGGAGGUGCAUUUCAGGAUGAGUAAUUAUCCCAGGGACGAUGCACAUAGUGAAAAA